ensembl:lncRNA
GAGUCAUUUAACUCAAAACAGUCAAACAAUUCAGAUGACCAAAUUUGAACUGAAAAGAAAAAGAAAGUUCUAAAUACUCAUGUUUGUUUGCUUUACUCAAACCAAAUAACUAUUUUGAGCUUUAGGGUUUACAGUGCAUACAUAAAUGUUAAUGAAUCACACACAAACCACUCUAGUCAUAGAUGUACACACACAGGUGGGAAGUCAUUAGCUUGUGCCAGCCUGCAAGGAGUGUAUGUGAGCCUGAGCACCUGUUCAAAAUGAUUAUAUUAGUUGUUUCCAUUGUGGUUCUGUUUUUGUGUUUGCAUGGGUGUGGGGCAUUUGGUGUGAUUCCUGUAGGUGUGAGGUGUUUUAAAUACCUAAUAUUCCUUAAGGGGCCAUAACAACUUAUGCUGUAAACAUAAUCUCCAGUGGGUCAAUGGAGUGUUUCAUCUGUUUGAGCCUGUUGUAGAGUCACACACUGACACACAUAUCAAUGUCAUCCACUCUUCACUGACUCCACUGGCUAUGGAAGAGAGUGCAACAUCGGAUUAAUGUUUUCCAUGUGGUUUCUCUCAGGUCCUCUUAAGCCAGGUACACAGACGGAGGGCCCUGGAUUUGUUGAGGCAAUUUCUGGACCUGGGCCCUUGGGCCGUCAGUUUGGCUCUUUCAGUGGGGAUUUUUCCGUAUGUGUUAAAACUGUUGCAGAGUUCAGCAAGAGAGCUCAGGCCUAUUUUGGUCUUCAUAUGGGCAAAGAUCUUGGCUGUAGAUAGUGUACGUAAACCAUUUUACCUCUUGAUGACUCACAUGAGUCCCAGUUAAACUCCUGUCAGCAGUUUUAACUAAAUGUUCACCAAAAGAAAGACAAAGAAAGUAAACAGAUGAAAGUGCUUUUUAUGAUCUCAGAAGUGUGUAUUCCAUUUGAACGUUCUUUGUUUAUUUCUCUUCUGUUUUUUAUUUUGCUAUAUCUAAGAGCUUUUCUGAGAGACCUGAACUGUAAACAUCAGAAACAUUCUGAUUAGCACAGAUGCUUAAUGUCAGUGUGAAUUCAAAUGCUAUUAGAAUUCUACUUCCAUAAUGCAUCAUACUUCUAAGUGAAACAGGAAAUUCAC